CUGGUGCCUGCCUGUCCACUGCUCCCUCACAGCCAGACCUGGCCCUUCUUUCCUCAGGAGAAAGAGUGGCAGCGGCUGGAGAACCUGAAAAAGAAGGAGGAGGCUGAGCUGCUGAGAAAGCAGAAGGUGGAGGAGGAAAAGUGCCGGCGCCUGGAGGAGGUGAAAAUGUGAGUGUCUGGCUUUGCCCAUACCCUGGGCCCUGUGGAGGCCUUGGGAGGGAGGGGGAUGAGGGAGGAUGGGGGGGGCCUCCAAAUCCGGGGGCAUGUCUGUUCCUCCUCGUGCCCCCAGGAAGCGGGAAGCACGCCUUUGGAAGGUCCUGCAGGCCCGUGAGCGGGCUGAGCAGUUGGAGGUAGAGAAAAAGAAACGCAUUGAGCAGAAGCUGGCUCAGCUGGAGAAGAACAGGAAGGCAAAGGAGGAACGGCUGGCUGAGGAGAAGGCCAGGAAGAAAGCUAAGAAGCUGGAGGAGGCGGAAGCCCAGAGGCAGAAGAGACUUCAGCAGGUCAGUGGAGCAGGAGGGGGGCCAUUGGACUGGGAUGUCCCAGGAAGCCCCAGUGGGUAGAGAUGGAGGCCCAGGGAGGCAAGAGCAGAGCUGUCCAUCCUCAGUUCCUUAGGCCCCACAGGACAAGGGCUAAGACAGGCCCCUUCCUUGUGGGGCAGCUAGCUGUAGGGCCCAGUGUGCUGGGCCUUGAGUCAGGAGGACCUAAAUUCAGAUCCAGCCUCAACACUUAGUAGCUGUGCAACCCUAGGCAAGUCACUUAACUGCUGCCUGCCUCAGUUUCCUCUUCUGUAAAAUUCUGCUUGCCUCCCAGAAUGGUUGGUAAGGAACAGAUGAGGUGACCCAAGCCAAGCACCAUAAAAAAGAAAAGGGGGGGGGGGCGGUGUCUAAAAGACAAAGACUCCUGACAGUUCUCCUCCCUUUACUCCUUGAGUAACAGGAAAAGGUGGCUUCUUUCGGGGAUGAGUGCUCUCCCUCACUGACCUCUUUCUGGGGGGGCUAAGCCCCAUUGCUCUUUAGCCCAGAAUAUUCAUUCCACAGUCAACCACGUGGGCAGUUUGGAAAUUUGGAUUCAACACGGAUGGCUCAUGUACAAUCAUUAAUUUAGAGCUGGAAGGGGCCAAGGGUUUGCUCUGCGCUGCCCACUUCACCCCCAGCCUAGCCUGGCCCACCUGGCCUGCAUGACUGGUCUCCCUCUCUUUCUCACCUCCAGGAAGAGGAAAAACAACUGCAAAAGAAGAAAGAAGAGGAGGUUCUGCAGAAGAUGGCUGAGGCCCAGAGGAUCAUGGGGCAGCAGAAGCAUCAGCUGGCCCUUGAGAAGGAGCCCGAGAAGCUGCAGGACAAGUGGUGAGGGCCUGCCCACUGGUCAUGCCUUCUCUGCCUGUGUGUCUGUGUCUGUGUGUGUGUCUGUGUCUGUGUCUGUGCAUGUGUGAGUGUCUGUGUGUGUGUGUCUGUGUCUGUGUCUGUGUCUGUGUCUGUGCAUGUGUGAGUGUCUGUGUGUGUG
rnacentral:lncRNA from 1 species